rnacentral:lncRNA from 1 species
UGGUCAUAACAGUUAACUGCAGGUCCUGAGGAAGGCUGUCAGAAAGCCUCGCAUUGUUAUGGCAUGGCACAUCUGAUCUGGUCAGGACUUCCAGGCCAACCUUGUUGGGUAGAGAGCAUAGCUCAAAAAGAGAAAAGGAAGCAAAGUUCUCAAUGUGAAUAUGGGAAAGGGGGAAGAAGGCUUUGUUUUGACCACUUCUGAGUGUUUAAAAAUGUGGGGUGUGCUGAAAAGUGACGAGGUCCUAAGACCACUGAAUCCUACUUCUGUGAGUUUGGAAAGAACUUGAUGUCAGGUGUUUUUGGCUAAUGGUCCAGAAGAGCCUUUGACGAGGUCCAUUUGACACAAGGUCCAUCCCCCUUGUACCAAGACUUAGGAGAAAUAGGGAGGAAGAGCUCUCAUCAUUGUUUGCAGUUAGUUUCAUAGUGUUCUCUGUUUCUUUUGUCACUGCUAUCACACACAAAAAGCCUUUCUCAAAGACAGAGCCCGCAGGGAUAGUUGGAACAGUUCCAGGAGCAGGAAUUCUCCUCAACAGGCCUCAGUUUUCACAUACUUGACACUUUCAGAUUCUGCUGACGAGUCAAGGAGCCCUCCAAAGACCCAGCCGUCUUGUGUUCACAGACGUUGCCAAUGCCAUCAAUGCAUGAACAGUACCUGCCCCUGCUCUGGGAUUGUGCCAAGAUUGGGGAGGAUGGAGCCACCAAACCAGCAACUUCUCAUGAGUGUGGCUGAGUCACGGAGCCCAGCUGGUCACACUGCUGGGUUGUGUUGCAGAUGGGCACACGCACCGGGAACAGACACCACUUGGGAAGGAAACCCUUUACGAUGGCAGUAGCAGUUUUUGGUGUGUCCACUACUACUACUACAAGGUCCUGAGCUGCCGUGCUGCUCCAGGUUCUGGGCUGGUGCUGACUGACACCAUCUACCAAGCUGUGUGCUUAGAAAUAGUGCUCGCUCUGUUGUAGAUUAACUUAUCCGAGCACGUCUGCGUGCUCUCUGGAUCAAGGAAAGAGGAGAGAUGCAUGUUCCAGAUAGCUUACCUGUUGGCUUUAUGCCACCAGAUCCCAACGAGAGCAGUGAAUGAGCCUCUGUGCAGCAACCACAGCAUUGGCAGACCCUGGAAGGGUGGCUGGUGGCAAAGCCUCCUUCAUCUGGGGAAACUGAUGGUCAUAGCUGAGUGGUAAAUCAGAGGCACACAGGAGGAUAACUCAUACCAUGGGCUUUUCCCCUUGUGGCUUGUGUGAUGCUGAUAAAUGCGUGCCUGGGCUGGCACUGCAGCAUGGGGAGUUGGCUAGUUCUAAAAUGCCAAAUGAUGAACAUCUGGCUGGUAACACCCUAACUGAGGAAUUGGCUGAAUAUCCCACAUUAAGGCUGCUGUGUGGAAAGAGGAGAAUCCACGUAGCUGUAGGCAGGGCUGCCAUGUCUGGCUACAUGACUCCCUGCUGCUGACCUAGGAAUGGUGGUGCCCGUGCCAGAUAGAGGAGUCAAGCAGAACUGGGGCUCUGGUACCAUGUGUCCUGCCUGCUUCAGCUCAGGGAAGUUUUACUGAGCAGAGAGAAUAUUAAGCCUUGAACUUUUUUCUUUUGAAUGAGGAAAAACAGGUCUUGGCUCUGUGUUGCAAUGUCUGCCCAGAGGUGGCUGAACAUCUGGUUACUUCCUUACUGAUAGACCUGCAGAGUCUUCUCC